AACUACCAAUUAUGUAUUUUCAAGGCAGCUAAAUCCAAGUGCAACAUAUACAUUGAGCUGCAAAAUUUUCUUAUUUUCAAGGCAGCUAAAUUCAAGUGCAACAUAGACAUUGAGCUGCAAAAUUUUCUUAUUUUCAAGGCAACUUAGUGCAACAUAUACAUUGAGCUGCAAACGUUUCUUAUCAUCUACAUCCGAUUUCACCUGGAUAGAUGCACGCUUGAUAAAGCUAGUUUGUCUAUCGAAAUAUUGCGUUUAUUUUCAUCAUUUUGUAAAUAUUUUAAAUAUUCGUAUAUUUACAUACUAAAUAGUGUGUUAA
rnacentral:lncRNA from 1 species